rnacentral:rRNA from 1 species
UACGGAAGGUGCAAGCGUUAAUCGGAAUUACUGGGCGUAAAGCGUGCGUAGACGGUUAUUUAAGUCGGAUGUGAAAGCCCCGGGCUCAACCUGGGAAUUGCAUUCGAGACUGAAUAGCUAGGGUGCGGUAGAGGGAAGCGGAAUUUCCGGUGUAGCGGUGAAAUGCGUAGAUAUCGGAAGGAACAUCAGUGGCGAAAGCGGCUUCCUGGACCAGCACCGACGUUCAGGCACGAAAGCGUGGGGAGCAAACAGG